CAAAAAUAAUCGUCAUCUGCCUUGAUGCGUUUCCUUUCUUUAUCGCUGCGAGCCCGGAACUUUCCAGUAACGAACGGCACGCGCGUUAUCAGCAUAGAACAGUUUACACCCUUUGGAGUGCCCCUUCUGAUAACGCGCGUGCCGUUCGUCACUGGAAAGUUCCGGGCUUGCAGCGAUAAAGAAAGGAAACGCAUCAAGGCAGAUGACGAUUAUUUUUGUGUGGCAGAAGGGGCAAGCCAAAGGGUGUAAACUGUUCUUAGAGUGUAGGUGUUAUAGUGAGAAACUAUGGGGCAGGGCCUCUCCUCAGUCAUUUGCCUCAGUUUCCUUCCUCCACGAGUUAUAGUGAGAAACUCCGGGGAUUCCCAUGAUGGUUGAACGCACGACCUACUGGAACUCCAGACCUGCACAGAUAUCAGGCUUUUAUGGGAGCAGCUUGCGCCCACUUUCGUUCAACAGACGGCCGUAGGUGGCGCUUUUAUAACCUGUUCGUCUGCUACGCGGUGGGCGGCUGUGCAGCGUUGUACGGCAGCUGUUGUGUUGUGACGAACUGUUUGUCUAAUUGAUUUUUGCUAACACAGUGACAGUGAUGUCACAAGGCUUUGAUCGGUAACUUGGCUCCAAAAGUUGACGGCCCGGACCUAAAAAAAUGUCGGAGCGUGUAGUCCGUUGCCGUCUAACAUAGCGUUAAAUAGCCGCUCCUAUUGCCUUUUUCAAGCAGAUUAUUAUAAAGGCCGUGUCUGCUGUGCCCGGGGCACAGCAGACGAAAGGUGCCCGAAAUGUCUACGUUCACCCAUGACGUCACAUCCGCUAUAACCCAUGAUGUCACAUCCGCUCAUUUCCAUGGCGGCCGUCUUACGGAGCCGGCUGCGCUGCGAAACGGUCCGUAUUCCGUGCCCACUUAGAGCACUGAACAUCCCACGUCUUGGUUUGACUUCCUGGUACAGGAUACUUGCACUUAGCAUGGAGUGAUGAAGCAGAGCAGUGUACUUUUAUUAAAUGUGCAGAUUUUAGCAGUAUAACAGCCGUUCAUUAAAAAAACGUGUGCUGAAAAUAAAGUAUACUUACCCACA